CAAAAAGGUGCAGCAGGAACACCUGGACUGCAACACCUGAGCCCCAGGUGUGGGAACUCCAGAACUGCACACCUGGACAGGUGUGGGAACCCCAGAACUG